rnacentral:rRNA from 1 species
UGACGAAGCGACGCCGCGUGGGUGAGGAAGGCCCUCGGGUUGUAAAGCCCUGUCAGGAGUUAAGAAAUGUAAGUGUGUUAAUACCACAUUUAUUUGACGAAGGCUCCAAAGGAAGCCACGGCUAACUCUGUGCCAGCAGCCGCGGUAAUACAGAGGUGGCAAGCGUUGUUCGGAAUUAUUGGGCGUAAAGAGCACGUAGGUGGGUUUGUAAGUCAGAUGUGAAAGCCUUCUGUUCAACGGAAGAAUUGCAUCUGAAACUGCGAAUCUUGAGUGUAGGAGGGGAGAAUGGAACUUCUGGUGGAGCGGUGAAAUGCGUAGAUAUCAGAAGGAACGCCGGCGGCGAAAGCGAUUCUCUGGCCUAUUACUGACACUCAGUGUGCGAAAGCUAGGGGAGCAAACGGGAUUAGAUACCCCGGUAGUCCUAGCCGUAAACGAUGGGCACUAAGUAGAGGG